UGAGUAAACUGGGCAGCCGCGAGAGCAUUGAUGCUUUCGAGGAAAGUCCGAGCUCCGCAGGGCAGGGUGCUGGGUAACGCCCAGUGGGGGCGACCCUAAGGAUAGUGCCACAGAAAGAAACCGCCUUUUCUGGAGCUUCUAGAAGCUCUAGAAAAGGUAAGGGUGCAACGGUGCGGUAAGAGCGCACCAGGGGUCAGGUGACUGGCUCGCUAGGUAAACCCCACCCGGAGCAAGACUGAAUAGGAGGGAGAUGAUGUUGCCCGCUGAAUCCCUCGGGUAUGAGUCGCUGGAGAUGCCAGGCAACUGGCGUCCUAGAUAGAUGGCUGCUACUCUAUUUUUAGGAGUACAGAACUCGGCUUACAGGUUUGCUCAUAUA
rnacentral:RNase_P_RNA from 1 species